rnacentral:rRNA from 1 species
CUCUCUAGGGGAGCAUGUGCACACCUUGUCAUCUUUAUAUCUCCACCUGUGCACCUUUUGUAGACCCUCUCCAGGUCUAUGUUGCUUUAUUUUACCCCAAUGUAUGUUAAAAGAAUGUUGUGCUUAUAAAAUCAAUACAACUUUCAGCAACGGAUCUCUUGGCUCUCGCAUCGAUGAAGAACGCAGCGAAAUGCGAUAAGUAAUGUGAAUUGCAGAAUUCAGUGAAUCAUCGAAUCUUUGAACGCACCUUGCGCUCCUUGGUAUUCCGAGGAGCAUGCCUGUUUGAGUGCAUUAAUAUAUAUAUCAACCAUUCUCAUUGUUGAGUGGUUGGAUGUGGGGGUUGCUGGCCUCUUGAAUGAUUCAGCUCCCCUGAAUUCAUUAGCAGAGNGACCCUGUUCAUUGGUGUGAUAACUAUCUACGCUAUUGAAUGUGAGGGGCAGUUCAGCUUUCUAACAGUCUUUGGACAAUUUAUCAUUUAUGUGACCUCAAAUCAGGUAGGACUACCCGCUGAACUUAAGCAUAUCAAUAA